CCUGUCUCCCUGGCCACCCCCUCCUGUUGCCAUGGCUUCCAUGACUGAGAGGGUAGCUGGCAGAGGGAGAGCAGAAAGGUUAGACUGGUGACAGGACUUCCUGGAGAAGGGAGAAGAUGAGGCUCCAAGGCUGCGGUGGGGUGUGAGACGGAGAAGAAAGCCCCCACGCUCCCCACUCUCCUGCCAGAAGCCAGGAUCCAGAUUGAUGCUCCCGUGCCCCCAGGCUUGAAUCUGAACCCUGGCCUCUCACUCUGCCUCCUGUUCUUUACUAGAACCCCUUUCCUCUCC